rnacentral:rRNA from 1 species
AGGGUCCGCGUUGUAAUCUGUAGAGGAUGGUUCGGCGAGGGCUCCCGCCUAAGUCCCCUGGAACGGGGCGUCAUAGAGGGUGAGAAUCCCGUAUGCGGUGGGUUGCCUUAGCCAUGUGAACCUCCUUCGACGAGUCGAGUUGUUUGGGAAUGCAGCUCUAAAUGGGAGGUAAAUUUCUUCUAAAGCUAAAUACCGGCCAGAGACCGAUAGCGCACAAGUAGAGUGAUCGAAAGAUGAAAAGCACUUUGGAAAGAGAGUUAAAAAGUACGUGAAAUUGUUGAAAGGGAAGCGCUUGCAACCAGACUUGUCCGCAGUUGCUCAGCCGGUCUCCUGACCGGCGUACUCUUCUGCGGCCAGGCCAGCAUCAGUUCGGGCGGUCGGAUAAAGGCCUCGGGAAUGUGGCUCCUCUCGGGGAGUGUUAUAGCCCGGGGCGGAAUGCGGCCAGCCUGGACUGAGGAUCUCGCUUCGGCAAGGAUGCUGGCGUAAUGGUUGUAAGCGGCCCGUCUUGAAACACGGACCAAGGAGUCUAACAUCUAUGCGAGUGUUUGGGUGUCAAACCCAUACGCGUAAUGAAAGUGAACGGAGGUGGGAACCCGCAAGGGCGCACCAUCGGCCGAUCCUGAUGUCUUCGGAUGGAUUUGAGCAAGAGCAUAGCUGUUGGGACCCGAAAGAUGGUGAACUAUGCCUGAAUAGGGUGAAGCCAGAGGAAACUCUGGUGGAGGCUCGCAGC